AGCAGCCGCGGUAAUUCCAGCUCCAAUAGCGUAUAUUAAAGUUGCUGCAGUUAAAAAGCUCGUAGUUGAAUUUCGGGACCAAUAUGUCGGUCGUGCCUCGGUACGUACUGGCAUCGUUGGUUUCUCCUUUCUGAAGAACCAUGAUGUCAUUUAUUUGGUGUCGUGGGAAAUCAGGACUGUUACUUUGAAAAAAUUAGAGUGUUUAAAGCAGGCUCACGCUUGAAUACAUUAGCAUGGAAUAAUGAAAUAGGACGUUUGAUUCUAUUUUGUUGGUUUCUAGGAUCGACGUAAUGAUUAAUAGGGAUAGUUGGGGGCAUUAGUAUUCAAUUGUCAGAGGUGAAAUUCUUGGAUUUAUUGAAGACUAACUACUGCGAAAGCAUUUGCCAAGGAUGUUUUCAUUAAUCAAGAACGAAAGUUAGGGGAUCGAAGACGAUCAGAUACCGUCGUAGU
rnacentral:rRNA from 1 species